GACGAACGCUGGCGGCGUGCUUAACACAUGCAAGUCGAACGGAAAGGCCCUGCUUUUGUGGGGUGCUCGAGUGGCGAACGGGUGAGUAACACGUGAGUAACCUGCCCUUGACUUUGGGAUAACUUCAGGAAACUGGGGCUAAUACCGGAUAGGAGCUCCUGCUGCAUGGUGGGGGUUGGAAAGUUUCGGCGGUUGGGGAUGGACUCGCGGCUUAUCAGCUUGUUGGUGGGGUAGUGGCUUACCAAGGCUUUGACGGGUAGCCGGCCUGAGAGGGUGACCGGCCACAUUGGGACUGAGAUACGGCCCAGUCUCCUACGGGAGGCAGCAGUGGGGAAUAUUGCACGAUGGGCGGAAGCCUGAUGCAGCAACGCCGCGUGCGGGAUGACGGCCUUCGGGUUGUAAACCGCUUUCGCCUGUGACGAAGCGUGAGUGACGGUAAUGGGUAAAGAAGCACCGGCUAACUACGUG
rnacentral:rRNA from 1 species